CAAUCCUUCCACUUCACAUCAAUAUUUUAUAUAUUCUUAAAAGGACACAAAAAUCACAAAUAGUGCAGAAAGAUUCUUAAACAGAUAUGUUCAACAACCCCUUCUCAAACCCCUAUGGAUGGCACUCACAUAUACAAGAGACACUUCUGCAUGGCUGAGUCAAACAGCACAGUUAUAGGAGGGGGUUACCCCCUCGGAGAAUAUUUCACAAAAACACUGGAUAUAGCAGCAAUUCACAUGAAUGAGAAAAAUGCCAAGGAGGCUCCAAUAAUGUAAAAACAUUCACAGAUUUAUUAUUGCACACUGUUUUAGGAACUCUUGAAAAAUGUGAGCUCUCAAAUAAGGAAACUCACAAAAAAUGUUUUUUUUUUACAAAAGUCCUGUUUUUCUCCCAGCCUGUUUAUCCUGUGUACUGAAGUGCUACGGUCAUGUGAAUCAUAUGGACCUGCCUCCUUUAGCUCAAAAAAUAGAGAUUAUAUAAUUUUAGGGACCAGAGCUUUGAUCGCAAUGGUGGUUCUAAGAACCACUUCUGUGGAUCAUAAAGAUAGAUCUAGGCCAGGAGAAGCCAGUGCUCAGCACUUGAUAUGUUACGGACUACGUCUUCCAAAAUGCUCUUACAGUCAUAAUGCUGGUAAAGCAUCGGGGCAUAUGUAGUUCAUAACAUCUGCAUUAACAAAAGUUCCCUAUCCCUGUUACAUAGAUGUCACUCAUGUAGGUCACAAAAAACAGACAAACUGAAAUCUCCAAUUGUACGUCUAAUGGGUAUAUGUUUGCCGCAACCUUUCAGAAACCGUCAUCAUCUUUAACUACAUGCAAUGAAUCGUCUAUUAAUUUGGUAUUAGACACUAUUGAAACACACUGACAUAUGGAUUGGCUAAAAACAAACAUCAAGCAAGCAGUUGUCUUUACCCAGUCUAAAACAACAACCAAGAUGUGUGAUUAUAGAGAUUUACCAAGACUCCUGACCUGAUGUUAAAAGAAAUGAUGCAAUCUGGGAAAUAAAAUCUCUCCAAAAAACCCACUCCCUUCCCUUGGGAGUUUAAAGAAGCAGAGCUGUAAAUAUGGUGCAGUUUAUGCAACACAAAUAGGAACCACAUUUAGUAAUGCAAAGAAACCUGGGCAGUAUCCUAAACAACCCUAAAUCACUCAAUCCGCCAACAUUCCAAAUGCCACAACUUAAUGCAGGGGCCAGCGUCCUUUAAAAGCCCUGCAGACAUACACACUGCUGUAGUUUCCUUUUAAGGACCUUGGAGAAAAAAAUGCAUGAGACAUUUAGGAAGCAAAGCAUACACUUAGAUAUUAAAUAUACCUUGGCUGGUAUGGCUGCAUUUAAAAUCCCACUUGGAAUCUACAGAAAAAGAUGCUAUAUUGUUAAGAUCUGGACAUACUCACACUAGAUAUGUUCACUCUAUUUAUUUACAAAACACAGAAUUAAAGUAAAAAUUAAAUAAAAAGAGAAUUUCUAAACUUAGAAGAAACAUCAAAGUCGCAGGAAAUCACUACCUCUUGCUUAAAUUUUAAGUCUUUUUUUUUUUAAUUCACUGCAACUGUGUUUGGACAUCAGCACAUGGCUCCAUACAUACUAACCGUUAUAAUCAUCUAAUCUGUGCCCAUUCUCUAACUUCUCCAUUAUCAGCUGCUUGGAGGGUGGGGGAUAAAAAAGUGAGUUUUCAAUGAAUUUUUGAAUGAGUGGAGACUGGGUGAAAUUCUUACGGGGAAGGGAGUUCCACAGAAGAGGUGUAGCCCAGGAAAAUCUUGGAGGCGAGCUUUAGAGGUGAGAGUACGGAGAGAAGAUAUACGUAGGUCUUUGGCAGAGCAUAGGGGCCUUGACGGGACAUACUUGUGUAUUAGGGAGGAAAGGUAGGUUGGAGCAGCAUUAUGUAGGGACUUGUAAGCAAGCACCAGAAUUUUAAAUUGAGCCCUAUAUCUAACUGGAAGCCAAUGCAGGGACUGACAGAGCGGGGAAGCGUGGGAGGUGCGAGCGGACAGGAAAAUGAGCCUCGCCGCCGCAUUCAUUAUAGAUUGCAAUGGUGCAAUCUGAGAACACGUAAGACCACUGAGAAGAGUAUUGCAGUAGUCCAGGCGAGAGAGAACAAGAGCAUGGACAAGCACCUUAGCCGCAUCCGGGGUUAAAUAGGGGUGGGUGCGCGCUAUGUUUUUGAGAUGGAAGCGACAGGAUUUGGCGAUUGAUUGGACAUGAGGGAUGAAGGAGAGGUUGGAGUCAAAAAGAAAACACAGGCAGCGAGCCUGCAAGGUAGAGGUGAUGGUAGCGCCGUUGACUUGGAGGGAGACAGAAACAGGAGUAGUAACACUUGAGGGAGGAAAGACCAGAAGUUCUGUUUUGGACAGGUUGAG
rnacentral:lncRNA from 1 species